rnacentral:rRNA from 1 species
UGGGGAAUAUUGCACAAUGGGCGAAAGCCUGAUGCAGCGACGCCGCGUGAGGGAUGACGGCCUUCGGGUUGUAAACCUCUUCAGCAGGACGAAGCGCAAGUGACGGUACCUGCAGAAGAAGCACCGGCUAACUACGUGCCAGCAGCCGCGGUAAUACGUAGGGUGCAAGCGUUGUCCGGAAUUACUGGGCGUAAAGCGUGCGUAGGUGGUUGUUUAAGUCUGUCGUGAAAGCCCUGGGCUCAACCUGGGAAUUGCGAUGGAAACUGGGCGACUAGAGUGUGGCAGAGGAUAGUGGAAUUCCUGGUGUAGCAGUGAAAUGCGUAGAGAUCAGGAGGAACAUCCGUGGCGAAGGCGACUGUCUGGGCCAACACUGACACUGAGGCACGAAAGCGUGGGGAGCAAACAGGAUUAGAUACCC